rnacentral:rRNA from 1 species
GACGAACGCUGGCGGCGUGCUUAACACAUGCAAGUCGGACGGAAAGGCCCUGCUUUUGUGGGGUGCUCGAGUGGCGAACGGGUGAGUAACACGUGAGUAACCUGCCCUUGACUUUGGGAUAACUUCAGGAAACUGGGGCUAAUACCGGAUAGGAGCUCCUGCUGCAUGGUGGGGGUUGGAAAGUUUCGGCGGUUGGGGAUGGACUCGCGGCUUAUCAGCUUGUUGGUGGGGUAGUGGCUUACCAAGGCUUUGACGGGUAGCCGGCCUGAGAGGGUGACCGGCCACAUUGGGACUGAGAUACGGCCCAGACUCCUACGGGAGGCAGCAGUGGGGAAUAUUGCACAAUGGGCGGAAGCCUGAUGCAGCAACGCCGCGUGCGGGAUGACGGCCUUCGGGUUGUAAACCGCUUUCGCCUGUGACGAAGCGUGAGUGACGGUAAUGGGUAAAGAAGCACCAGCUAACUACGUG